rnacentral:lncRNA from 1 species
GACCCCAUUUCCCCCCUUCCCCCAUUUCCCCCCUGCCCCCAUUUCCCCCAUUUCCCCCGCCCCGCUCACUUCUGCUGGUCCGAGGGGUUCUGGAUGAUCGUUUUCUCGCCGUCGAUCACGUGCUGCUUCAGCUGGUGCGACAACAUCCCUGCAGCAAACUGGGCUUACUGGGACGGACUGGGGCGGGCUGGGGCGGGCUGGGGUUACAGGGAUGGGCUGGGCUUACUGGGAUGGACUGGGGUUACAGGGAUGGGCUGGGCUUACUGGGAUGGACUAGGAUGGGCUGGGGUUACAGGGAUGGGCUGGGCUUACUGGGACGGACUGGGAUGGGCUGAGGUUACAGGGAUGGGCUGGGCUUACUGGGACGGACUGGGAUGGACUGGGACGGGCUGGGAUUAGAGGGAUGGGCUGGGCUUACUGGGACGGACUGGGAUGGGCUGGGCUGGGGUUACAGGGAUGGGCUGGGCUUACUGGGACGGACUGGGAUGGGCUGAGGUUACAGGGAUGGGCUGGGCUUACUGGGACGGACUGGGAUGGGCUGGGCUGGGGUUACAGGGAUGGGCUGGGCUUACUGGGAUGGACUGGGAUGGGCUGGGCUGGGGUUACAGGGAUGGGCUGGGCUUACUGGGACGGACUGGGAUGGGCUGGGCUGGGGUUACAGGGAUGGGCUGGGCUUACUGGGACGGACUGGGAUGGGCUGAGGUUACAGGGAUGGGCUGGGCUUACUGGGAUGGACUGGGACGGGCUGGGCUUACUGGGACGGACUGGGAUGGGCUGGGGUUACAGGGAUGGGCUGGGCUUACUGGGACGGACUGGGAUGGACUGGGACGGGCUGGGAUUAGAGGGAUGGGCUGGGCUUACUGGGACGGACUGGGAUGGGCUGGGCUGGGGUUACAGGGAUGGGCUGGGCUUACUGGGACGGACUGGGAUGGGCUGAGGUUACAGGGAUGGGCUGGGCUUACUGGGACGGACUGGGAUGGACUGGGCUGGGGUUACAGGGAUGGGCUGGGCUUACUGGGAUGGACUGGGACAGGCUGGGGUUACAGGGAUGGGCUGGGCUUACUGGGAUGGACUGGGGCAGGCCAGGGUUACAGGGAUGGGCUGGGCUUACUGGGACAGGCUGGGGUUACAGGGAUGGGCUGGGCUUACUGGGACAGACUGGGAUGGACUGGGCUGGGGUUACAAGGAUGGGCUGGGCUUACUGGGACGGACUGGGAUGGACUGGGGUUACAGGGAUGGGCUGGGACAGACUGGGAUGGACUGGGACGGGCUGGGGUUACAGGGAUGGGCUGGGCUUACUGGGAUGGACUGGGACGGGCUGGGGUUACAGGGAUGGGCUGGGCUUACUGGGACGGACUGGGAUGGACUGGGACGGGCUGGGGUUACAGGGAUGGGCUGGGCUUACUGGGACGGAUUGGGACAGACUGGGGUGGGUUGGGAUGA